rnacentral:rRNA from 1 species
UACGAAGGGGGCUAGCGUUAAUCGGAAUUACUGGGCGUAAAGCGUGCGCAGGCGGCUUUGCAAGACAGAUGUGAAAUCCCCGGGCUUAACCUGGGAACUGCAUUUGUGACUGCAUGGCUAGAGUGCGGCAGAGGGGGAUGGAAUUCCGCGUGUAGCAGUGAAAUGCGUAGAUAUGCGGAGGAACACCGAUGGCGAAGGCAAUCCCCUGGGCCUGCACUGACGCUCAUGCACGAAAGCGUGGGGAGCAAACAGG